GAUGAAGAACGUAGCGAAAUGCGAUAAGUAAUGCGAAUUGCAGAAUUCCAGUGAGUCAUCGAAUCUUUGAACGCACAUUGCGCCCAUUGGUAUUCCGAUGGGCAUGCCUGUUCGAGCGUCAUUAUCAACCCUCGCGCCCGGCUUCUGUCGGGGGCGGUGUUGGGGAUCGGCCUCCCGUCUUCCGGGCGGCCGGCCCCUAAAUGGAGUGGCGACCGCGCCGUAGCCUCCUCUGCGUAGUAGUGAAACACUCGCGGGCGGAGAGCGGUGCGGCCCGCCGUAAAACCCCCAACUCUUCUAAGGUUGACCUCAGAUCAGGUAGGAAUACCCGCUGAACUUAAGCAUAUCAAUAAGCGGAGGA
rnacentral:misc_RNA from 1 species